UGUCCUCCAAACCUCAUCCGGAUGGCAAGCUGGACUUCAAACCCAUGUCCCUCCUCAACCUGGGCAAGGACAGACUGGCCAACUGGACAGCAGGGACAGACAACAUGAGCACGUCCAUCAAGGACUGUGCAAACAACGAUGAGACAACGAGACUACCUGGGGAGCAGGGUCAGAGCCCGCCUGGCAUCCACAUCUCCAAGAGGCUCCUCUUCUCCAUAGUGCACGAAAAAUCAGAAAAAUGGGAUUCU